rnacentral:rRNA from 1 species
CAAUAGCGUAUAUUAAAGUUGUUGCGGUUAAAAAGCUCGUAGUUGGAUUUCUGCCGAGGACGACCGGUCCGCCCUCUGGGUGAGUAUCUGGCUCGGCCUGGGCAUCUUCUUGGAGAACGUAGCUGCACUUGACUGUGUGGUGCGGUAUCCAGGACUUUUACUUUGAGGAAAUUAGAGUGUUUCAAGCAGGCUUACGCCUUGAAUACAUUAGCAUGGAAUAAUAAGAUAGGACCUCGGUUCUAUUUUGUUGGUUUCUAGAGCUGAGGUAAUGAUUAAUAGGGAUAGUUGGGGGCAUUCGUAUUUAACUGUCAGAGGUGAAAUUCUUGGAUUUGUGAAAGACGAACUUCUGCGAAAGCAUUUGCCAAGGAUGUUUUCAUUGA